rnacentral:rRNA from 1 species
UGGGGAAUUUUGCACAAUGGGGGAAACCCUGAUGCAGCGACGCCGCGUGAUUUAUAAGGCCUUCGGGUUGUAAAAAUCUUUUCUAUGGGAAGAAAAUGACAGUACCAUAGGAAUAAGGACCGGCUAAUUACGUGCCAGCAGCCGCGGUAAUACGUAAGGUCCGAGCGUUGUCCGGAAUCAUUGGGCGUAAAGGGUACGUAGGCGGGUAAGCAAGUUAGAAGUGAAAUCCUAUAGCUCAACUAUAGUAAGCUUUUAAAACUGCUCAUCUUGAGGUAUGGAAGGGAAAGUGGAAUUCCUAGUGUAGCGGUGAAAUGCGCAGAUAUUAGGAGGAAUACCGGUGGCGAAGGCGACUUUCUGGCCAUAACCUGACGCUGAGGUACGAAAGCGUGGGUAGCAAACAGG